CGGGACACGUGGUAUCCUGUCUGAAUAUGGGGGGACCAUCCUCCAAGGCUAAAUACUCCUGACUGACCGAUAGUGAACCAGUACCGUGAGGGAAAGGCGAAAAGAACCCCGGCGAGGGGAGUGAAAAAGAACCUGAAACCGUGUACGUACAAGCAGUGGGAGCCUCUUUAUGGGGUGACUGCGUACCUUUUGUAUAAUGGGUCAGCGACUUAUAUUCUGUAGCAAGGUUAACCGAAUAGGGGAGCCGAAGGGAAACCGAGUCUUAACUGGGCGUUAAGUUGCAGGGUAUAGACCCGAAACCCGGUGAUCUAGCCAUGGGCAGGUUGAAGGUUGGGUAACACUAACUGGAGGACCGAACCGACUAAUGUUGAAAAAUUAGCGGAUGACUUGUGGCUGGGGGUGAAAGGCCAAUCAAACCGGGAGAUAGCUGGUUCUCCCCGAAAGCUAUUUAGGUAGCGCCUCGUGAAUUCAUCUCCGGGGGUAGAGCACUGUUUCGGCAAGGGGGUCAUCCCGACUUACCAACCCGAUGCAAACUGCGAAUACCGGAGAAUGUUAUCACGGGAGACACACGGCGGGUGCUAACGUCCGUCGUGAAGAGGGAAACAACCCAGACCGCCAGCUAAGGUCCCAAAGUCAUGGUUAAGUGGGAAACGAUGUGGGAAGGCCCAGACAGCCAGGAUGUUGGCUUAGAAGCAGCCAUCAUUUAAAGAAAGCGUAAUAGCUCACUGGUCGAGUCGGCCUGCGCGGAAGAUGUAACGGGGCUAAACCAUGCACCGAAGCUGCGGCAGCGACACUAUGUGUUGUUGGGUAGGGGAGCGUUCUGUAAGCCUGUGAAGGUGUACUGUGAGGUAUGCUGGAGGUAUCAGAAGUGCGAAUGCUGACAUAAGUAACGAUAAAGCGGGUGAAAAGCCCGCUCGCCGGAAGACCAAGGGUUCCUGUCCAACGUUAAUCGGGGCAGGGUGAGUCGACCCCUAAGGCGAGGCCGAAAGGCGUAGUCGAUGGGAAACAGGUUAAUAUUCCUGUACUUGGUGUUACUGCGAAGGGGGGACGGAGAAGGCUAUGUUGGCCGGGCGACGGUUGUCCCGGUUUAAGCGUGUAGGCUGGUUUUCCAGGCAAAUCCGGAAAAUCAAGGCUGAGGCGUGAUGACGAGGCACUACGGUGCUGAAGCAACAAAUGCCCUGCUUCCAGGAAAAGCCUCUAAGCAUCAGGUAACAUCAAAUCGUACCCCAAACCGACACAGGUGGUCAGGUAGAGAAUACCAAGGCGCUUGAGAGAACUCGGGUGAAGGAACUAGGCAAAAUGGUGCCGUAACUUCGGGAGAAGGCACGCUGAUAUGUAGGUGAAGUCCCUUGCGGAUGGAGCUGAAAUCAGUCGAAGAUACCAGCUGGCUGCAACUGUUUAUUAAAAACACAGCACUGUGCAAACACGAAAGUGGACGUAUACGGUGUGACGCCUGCCCGGUGCCGGAAGGUUAAUUGAUGGGGUUAGCGGUAACGCGAAGCUCUUGAUCGAAGCCCCGGUAAACGGCGGCCGUAACUAUAACGGUCCUAAGGUAGCGAAAUUCCUUGUCGGGUAAGUUCCGACCUGCACGAAUGGCGUAAUGAUGGCCAGGCUGUCUCCACCCGAGACUCAGUGAAAUUGAACUCGCUGUGAAGAUGCAGUGUACCCGCGGCAAGACGGAAAGACCCCGUGAACCUUUACUAUAGCUUGACACUGAACAUUGAGCCUUGAUGUGUAGGAUAGGUGGGAGGCUUUGAAGUGUGGACGCCAGUCUGCAUGGAGCCGACCUUGAAAUACCACCCUUUAAUGUUUGAUGUUCUAACGUUGGCCCCUGAUCGGGGUUGCGGACAGUGUCUGGUGGGUAGUUUGACUGGGGCGGUCUCCUCCUAAAGAGUAACGGAGGAGCACGAAGGUUGGCUAAUCCUGGUCGGACAUCAGGAGGUUAGUGCAAUGGCAUAAGCCAGCUUGACUGCGAGCGUGACGGCGCGAGCAGGUGCGAAAGCAGGUCAUAGUGAUCCGGUGGUUCUGAAUGGAAGGGCCAUCGCUCAACGGAUAAAAGGUACUCCGGGGAUAACAGGCUGAUACCGCCCAAGAGUUCAUAUCGACGGCGGUGUUUGGCACCUCGAUGUCGGCUCAUCACAUCCUGGGGCUGAAGUAGGUCCCAAGGGUAUGGCUGUUCGCCAUUUAAAGUGGUACGCGAGCUGGGUUUAGAACGUCGUGAGACAGUUCGGUCCCUAUCUGCCGUGGGCGCUGGAGAACUGAGGGGGGCUGCUCCUAGUACGAGAGGACCGGAGUGGACGCAUCACUGGUGUUCGGGUUGUCAUGCCAAUGGCACUGCCCGGUAGCUAAAUGCGGAAGAGAUAAGUGCUGAAAGCAUCUAAGCACGAAACUUGCCCCGAGAUGAGUUCUCCCUGACUCCUUGAGAGUCCUGAAGGAACGUUGAAGACGACGACGUUGAUAGGCCGGGUGUGUAAGCGCAGCGAUGCGUUGAGCUAACCGGUACUAAUGAACCGUGAGG
rnacentral:rRNA from 1 species